rnacentral:misc_RNA from 1 species
GAUGAAGAACGUAGCGAAAUGCGAUAAGUAAUGUGAAUUCCAGAAUUCAGUGAAUCAUCGAAUCUUUGAACGCACCUUGCGCCUUUUGGUAUUCCGAAAGGCACACCUGUUUGAGCGUCAUGAAAACCUCAAUCUCCAUCUUUUCUUCGGAUUGAUGGGUGACUUGGAUGUUGAGCCCUGCUGGUAUGCUAUAUCAGCUGGCUUUAAACUUAUUAGCCGGCUCUGUACUGGAUCGGUUUGACUCGACGUGAUAAUAUUAUCGUUGAGGAUGCAUGUCUCAUGCAGCCGGAAAGUAUCAAAGCAGCUUCUAGCUUGCCUUUAGUGCACUUUUACAUUUUAGACCUCAGAUCAGGUGGGACUACCCGCUGAACUUAAGCAUAUCAAUAAGCGGAGGA